ACAUAUCAUCCCCCACACACACACACAGUCAACACUGCACAGGCUCCGAAUGCUGAAGCUGAGGCAAUCAUCUUCUCAUCUCUUUCACUUCGCGACUUUUUGCGUCUCCGAAUACUCACCAACUAAUCUUUUAACUUCAGCUGGACUGAUGAAUAGGUUCAUAUAUCCGUGUACACAGUACACACAAGAAAAUAAAACAACACAUUUAAGCAGAAUUAUAUAUAUUAUCCUUGUAGCCAUUUCGUCUUUCUCUCCUGACUUCACACACAGUAGCAAAUGUAAUGUCAAUGACCCAAAUAUAGCACUCCUUAACCUUUGACCCAUUAAGGAUUUCGGAGAGAAGACUGUGCUCGUUUCUCAUAAAAAUGUGCGAAAGCUUCGUUCUACUCUUUGUUGUUUAGUAUUUUAUUGCAGGAGUGCAUUCUCAUAUAUCAACUUUAGCAGCGGCUGUUUCGAAAGAAUGUCAUUUUGAAAAUGUAAACAUUCAUAAACAUAAUUAAGUUUAUAUUCCUUUGAGACACAAGCUGAGCCUGAGGAUAGAAUGGCUCAUAAAGAUAUUUCAAGCCUAAUAAGUGAGCUGGAUACCGACGUCACUGGAGAAAUAAGCACAUCUUUAGCGACGGAUAUUUCAUUUUCUGCGGGAGAUGAAACUGACGAGAAUCGUCAGCGGAAAUCGAGGCAUUCUGAACGGAGACAACCCGGGAAGAUCACCCGUCAGCUGAUCGAAAGGAAGCAGUUGCUACACGACUUGCAACUGGUGAAAAUUGAAUUGUCCCAGAAGAAUUUGAUUAUCGAGAAUUUGAAAGCUGAACAAUUAGCGAGAGUUGAAGAACUUGAAGAAAAAUUAGGCGAUGCCUCUCACACCAAGCAGAUUUUGCAGGCCAGACUUGAAGCACAACUGAAUGUAAACAAAGAAGAGGCCCGCCAUUUACAGCAGAAACUCCAAGCUGACUUGCACACAAUCACAGAAAAACAGCGCCAUCUGGAGGCCACAAAUGCAGAGUUACAACGACGAGCUGGUGAUGUCCGGAGGGCAUUGCAUAACUUAGAUCUGUCGGAUGAGCAGUACAGUUCAUUGAAGAGAGCAAGAGAGGAAGAACUCACUUUAAGGGAUGUCAUAGCGGUGAAAUUCUAUGAAGAGAAACAUCCACUGCAGUUGAAGCUGACUGAUCUUGAAGGCUGGAAGGACACAUUAGAAACAGAGCUAAAGAGGAGCAGAGAGGAACAGUUUAGAUUACAUGAGGCACUGGAGAAGGAGCAACGGCUGAAAAGUGACGCUGAAGGAAAAUGUCAGAGGUUGACCCUUGACCUUGCCAAUUUGAAGUCAACACACAAUCAGAAUGACUACAAGCAAGAGAACUACGAUAGAGUCAAGAGUGAGAGGGAUAAUUAUGAACAGCAGCUUGAUGAUCUGGAGAAGCAACAUACGUAUCUCAAUGUCACCUUCAAAGCAGUGGCCGAAGAAAGGGAUCAACUUGUCAAAGAGCUCGCCGAUAAGAAACAAGAGUUGCUUCUCCUUGACCAAGACAAGGGGUACUUUUCAAAGCAGUUCAGCGAUGUCAGCAACAAACUUGCCCAUGCUGAAGAACGUCUGCUGUGUGCCCAGGCUGACGUGGACCAUGCCAAGCGAUCCAGAGAAGAGCUUUACGAAAAGUACAUUGAAUCCAGGGAUCAGUGUAAGGUGGAGUAUGAGACUCGACUAAGAGAAGAGCUAGAGUCAAUCCGACUAAGGACAGAAACUGAGAUUGAUAAACUGAAGAGUACCAUGAGGGAUACCUUUGAAAGAGAGAACAGGAGUUUGCGGGAUGCGAGAGACAAUGCAGUGUUAGAGAAAGACAGAGCUUCAGCAUCGGACCAGGAAGGAAAGACCAAAUAUGAGGAGCUCUUUGCAAAGUACCGAGAGCUGCAGUCCACCUCUGAUGCCAGAGCCAUGGAGUUGAGCAGUGAAGCCAAGCUAAAGACCUUUGAAGCAGAAAGAUCCAAUAUGAUUCAGGAGGAGACUCAACGGAACCUCAAACAGGCCCAGGUGGACUGCGACAAACUCCAAAAGAAAUUAGAGGUUUUGACAAAAGAAUAUUACACCAUGCAGUCUUCAGGGGAGAGAAGGGCUACUGAAUUAGAAGCACAGCUAUCUGAAUUGAAAUCAAAGCUAGAGACUUAUGAGAAACUAGAGAAAGAACUUGAUGAAGUAGUAAUGCAGGCUGCCGAAUAUGACCAAGCUGAUGAGGCUGAGAAGGUUCUGUUCUCAUAUGGCUAUGGAGCAAAUGUUCCCUCUACAGCAAAAAGGAGAUUACAGCACAGUGUUCAUCUGGCAAGGAGAGUUCUUAGCUUAGAAAGGAUUAAUACAUCACUGAAGAAAGAUAUUGAGAGAAGAGAGACAAAGAUACAACAACUAGGAGAGGAGCUAGAGCUUUUUAACUGUUGUUAUCCGCAACCUUUGUUAUAUUAAUGUCAUAAAUUAUUUGGGUUAUACCUGAAUAAGGCUUUGUAUUAUAACAAGGAACUAACACAUUACUUUUUGAAAAAAUCUUUACUGUGUGAUUCUUCUCACUUUCUUUCAUGGCAGCAAAUGGCUCUGAUGAAACAAGUUGUUAUGAAGCUCAGCCAGCGCGGCAACAAGGAAACACCACAUUACCAUGGCAACAAGGAAUCCCAUCACAGUCCAGUCCUUCAUGAGAGAUUGAGUCGUGACCAGCAUCCCGUGUCCAAGAAGAUGACCGUUGGUCUGGAUGCGGGUGACCUGCCACGACCUACUGUCUUUACAAAGAGCCAAGAUUCACAGUGGUAUGAUAAGCUGAAAGAACGCAACACCAACAGAGGAACUCGCAAGAAUACAUGGAAAGAAGGAACGUGACAGAGAAGUAUGAUCAGAGGCUAUAAGAAAGAAUUGAUGGAAUGACUCGUUGACAGUCACUUGAACAUUAUAUCACUGAUACGACAUUGCAAAUCUUAUCAUUAUUCCUCUUUUUGUGAAAAGUCAUAUGGGGAAUUCAUUUCUUGAAAUGUAUGUGACAGGAAUAACCAAGAUCUCUUUUUGAAUGUUGUAUCUUUAUUUUUACUCAAAAUCAAGGAUUGAGGAGGUAUAGCAAGAGAGCUACAUGUACGUGCUUGUAAUUUUGGUUUGGGCGACCUACAUUUCCUCGGUACAAAAUGCCAUAGGGAUGAACGAUGACGAAAUUAUGGUAUUGUUACUGAUAAUGCACAGGAUUCUAAUGGCUCCAUACAUGUAUUUGCUUAAAGCCUAUAUGAAGCUUUGUUUAAUGUGCAAUAAUGUGAAUUAUUACCUAUACUAGGCAUUUUAGCAGCUAAAUAAAAAAGCCAUAUUUCACAUGCUCCUUUCAAUCCGAGACCAAAGUGGUAGACAUUUGCCAUGUUGCCCUCUUCCUGGUUUUCCCCAUAGGAAUACUAUACAGAAACGAGGGCAACAUUGGCCAAAAACCUGCCAGUGCACUUGUGCAGUAGGAGUCGACUUUGAUCAAUAAUUUCAAUAUACGCAAACCUGCUUGGAACCAGUUUGUGAAUCAACACAAUGUAGAUAAUGCAUGAGUUUGAUCGAUAUGCAGCGCAUGAUGAUGAAUGCAUUCCCACUGAUCAUACCCAAGCACGUUAAGUUUAUGAGCUCAACAACCAUUUUAUGUCACAAUUACUUGGCAAGGAUUAUGUCAUCAAGUUCAUGAAUAACCUGGAAUCAGAAGUAGUGAUAGGCAAACAGACGUCUAAAUUGUUCCAAAUAUAGCUGUAGGUAAUGAUGAUAAUAUUGACUUGUUCCUAUUUCGGGAAACAUCAUAUGUAUAUUGCCCUUAAAAGAACCAUAUUUCCCUCGUCUAAAGACUCAGGCAUAUUUGAUUCUUCAUCUUAAAUUCUUCAUAAAAUGUAUUAUCAAUUGUUGAAUAUUUUUCAUCUUUAUUUGUUAUUUUAAUUUGAAUUUCACCUUUGAGGAUACUUGGCACCCUCUCUCUGUGCUGUUUUUAUUUUUUCUUUAAAAAAGGAGCCAUUUCAACAUGUAUUAUAUUUAGAAGUAAAUUUACCAAUCAGAGAGAUACAAGCAAGCAUGAUUAUUCCCUGAUAUAGGCCCAUGCCAUUCCAUGCUUGGCAUCUGAAAAGUAAGUGGCUUGUAUGAGAAUAGAUCAUGCAAAUAGAGAAAGGCGUGACAUAUGAUGAUACCUGCUAUGCCAUGUAAGUUACCCAGAAUUCAUCCCCAUGGGGUUUUUGGGGGGGCCUGUUCUUUUCAAGAAUAUACUGCAUUGCACAGCUCAUGGCAAGUAAAGAAAAAUUUCAUCUCAGAAGCCUCUUUCAUGAGAAGGUACUCGUGCAGGUAAUACAGUAUGUGAGAAGUACGCAGGGCAGACUCAUAGAUGAGUUUUAUUUCAACAUUACUACUCUAGCUCUCUCUCUUCUCACCCCCCCCCCCUGCUUAGGCUUAUGGCUGGUCAGACCUGGGUCCUCUUUCAUAAAGCCUUGUUAUAAUAACAAAUUCAAAAUCCCUAUAACAAGUUUCAUAUCAGCCAUUCAAAUUGAAGGAUUUCAGUAGCUUUUAACCAUUAUUGCAAAUUUGUUAUUUUUGUUAAACAGACCUCUGCUUGUGAGUGUCAUAAAUAGGAUGGGUUUGUGACUUGUCAGGAGAGCGCUGGAGCAUACUUCAUGGACUUGGGGCUGCAUUAAAAACUAAGCAUUGACAUCGGGGUGUAGCCAGCCUUGUGUCAUGAGGAUUAAGAACAGUUUGAGUGAAAAUGUGUUUGUAGUUAAAAGCUUUAAUAGCAUUAAUAGUGAAAAUUAAAGGCAAAAAUGAUGACGAACGUUAUUGACUUUUAUUCAGAUAUACUUGUGAUCUUUCUGAAACACACCCUUGUGCCUUGUUACACAAAGAUAAACAAUUAUUUACUGAUAUAAAUGAUCAUUCCACAAUGAUCUUGGGCCCCGUCUUACAAAGAGUUGUGAUCGAUCUGAUCAACCUGAACUAUGAAAAGCCAGCAACGCCCAUAUCUAAAAUGCAUGUUUGUUCAAUUUUUUUUCAGAUAUUCAUAAAUUCAUUGUUUUCUUGACAAUUUGGUGUGUUCGCCUUUGUUUACAAAGGACAUUUUGCAAAUUUCCUGUAGAAAAAAUUAUGACACUGAUGGACUUCCAUAGAGUUACGAUUGAUUGGAUCAAUCGUAACUCUUUGUAAGACGGGGCCAUGAUUGGCCAUUGUCAUUUUGCAAUUGAUUGCAGAAUCUCAGUAACACAGCACCAUGAUGUCCAUGAAUGAGUUUUUUUUUUUUUUUUUGGGGGGGGGGGAGAAGAAUGGAGCUCAUGGUUUAUUUUCAUUUGGUCCAAUGCCAAUUCGUCCAAUUGCCAACUCGUCAAAUACCAUUUGGUCUACCAUCAGUUCGUCCAAUAUCCACAUGGUCUAAUUGUCAUUUUGUCCACUCACCGUUUCGUCUAAUAACUAGUUGGUCUAAUAGCCAUUUAGUCCAUAUACCAUCUGGUCUAAUAAUUGGGCAAAGUGAAUGAAAAUAAAACAAAUAUUAUUAGACCAACUGGUUAUGAGACAAAAUGGUCAUAGACGAACCGGUGAUUAGACCAAAUAAUUGGACCAAAUUUUUUUUUUUUUUCAAUUUACUUGUGAAUGUUUUGACAGUUCAGCAAAAACACAUUCCACAGAUAAGGGUAUCAUAUAAACUGAUUAAUUGAGUCUGGCAUUAAAGCAAUACAAGCAAUGUA